rnacentral:lncRNA from 1 species
GAGAAUCGAUCGGUCGAAUCGAACCAUAAAUCGGCCGAUUUUUUAAAUUUGACCAAAACACAACCGUUUGGUCCUUUCUAUUUAACCAGCAAUCCGAAAUCUCCAAUUUAGUAACCUACUCCACUAACCCUUGCUCCACACAAGAUACAACUGCACAGCUCUUCCUCUCCCUCCCUCACCCUCACUCUCGAGCUCGUCCUUUCUCUCUGUGCCGGCGAGUUGUCUCCGUCACUUCCGUCCAAUUGCUGGAUUGCUCCUGCCGCCGUCGCAAUUUGGAGCCUCGAAAAUUACAAUUACGAUCGUACAGCUCUCCACCAUCGCCGUUUCAGCUCUGGAGAUAACAGUAU